GUGGGCUUGGAAUCACGAUGUUGUGGGCCCAUGGAGCGUCAAGCGGGUGAUCACGGGGAUCUCCAUCACACCCGCCGGUAUAGCCGCGCCACUACUAAAGUAGGCCGCCAAGAGAAGCCUGCAUUGCUCUUGGUGCUCCGAAUUUUAUAUGUAGUGCGUGCCGCACGCCGUGGAGGGGUGGGUCGUGUUGGACGGCCUAGAAGGUGCGGAACGCCG
rnacentral:ncRNA from 1 species